CAGUAGCCGCGGGAACACCAGCAGUCCAAGUGGUGGUCGCGAUUAUUGGGCCUAAAGCGCUCGUAGCCGGGCCGGUAAGUCCCUUGUGAAAUCGGACGGCCUAACCGUUCGGCGUGCAAGGGAUACUGUCGGUCUUGAGGCCGGGAGACGUCCGAGGUACUCCGGGGGUAGCGGUGAAAUGUUCUGAUCCUCGGGGGACCACCGGUGGCGAAGGCGUUCGACGAGAACGGGCCUGACGGUGAGGGGCGAAGGCUAGGGGAGCAAACAGGAUUAGAUACCCCCGUAGUCCCUGUCUCUUAUA
rnacentral:rRNA from 1 species